rnacentral:rRNA from 1 species
UGGCUCAGGAUGAACGCUGGCGGCGUGCCUAAUACAUGCAAGUCGAGCGAACAGAUAAGGAGCUUGCUCCUUUGACGUUAGCGGCGGACGGGUGAGUAACACGUGGAUAACCUACCUAUAAGACUGGGAUAACUUCGGGAAACCGGAGCUAAUACCGGAUAACAUAUUGAACCGCAUGGUUCAAUAGUGAAAGGCGGCUUUGCUGUCACUUAUAGAUGGAUCCGCGCCGUAUUAGCUAGUUGGUAAGGUAACGGCUUACCAAGGCAACGAUACGUAGCCGACCUGAGAGGGUGAUCGGCCACACUGGAACUGAGACACGGUCCAGACUCCUACGGGAGGCAGCAGUAGGGAAUCUUCCGCAAUGGGCGAAAGCCUGACGGAGCAACGCCGCGUGAGUGAUGAAGGUCUUCGGAUCGUAAAACUCUGUUAUCAGGGAAGAGCAAAUGUGUAAGUAACUGUGCACAUCUUGACGGUACCUGAUCAGAAAGCCACGGCUAACUACGUGCCAGCAGCCGCGGUAAUACGUAGGUGGCAAGCGUUAUCCGGAAUUAUUGGGCGUAAAGCGCGCGUAGGCGGUUUUUUAAGUCUGA